CGCAGCGACCUCCGGGAGGGCGCGGGGCUCAUAUCCCCGCCACGGUGGGUUCGACUCCCUCCGCUGCAACCA
rnacentral:tRNA from 1 species